AUGAUGACGUGCCGAUCCUCGACGACUUCGUCCUCCCUUUGGACAAGACGAUGGCCAUGGUGGAAUAUGAUGCACCCCCCCACAUGGUUCCAUCACGAUGAAGAUGAACACGAUUUGGUCUUCCCCACCUCACCUACACCACUUGAGUGGAACGACAAAGGUAACAUAGGUGAAGGUGAUGCUCUUGUCCCACUAGUGGACAUUCUUGACAUUGAUUGCUUGCAUGAUGUUGAUCCACCUAGUACCUUGCUUAAUUCUAGUAUGAUUUCCCCAUGUGAUGAUUUUCCCAUUUAUGAUGAGUACGAUGAUUCUCAUGUGGAGUCUAUUAGUUGUGAUGCCACGUUACAUAGGAUUUCUUGUGACAAUUCUUUAGGUCACAUCAUGUUUGCUAAUCCGCUUGACUUGUCAUAUGCUAUGCAUGAGAUCAACCAUAUGUCUUAUUUGCAAUCUCUUCAUAGUGACUAUGCAUAUGCCAUUAAAAUAAACCCAAUUUGCACUUUUGGCAUAGAUGACAAGCCCAUGGUUAUUGGCAUUUGUUUCUCUUGUGAUGAUAUUGAUAUGCUCCCUUUGCAUCAUUUAUCUCAUAUGCCAUGCCAUGACCACCUAGCUUCGGAUAUGAAUUGUUUUGGAUGUUGUCCAUUUUCUCCAUAUUAUGCUUCCGAUAUUGCUCAUGAGGAGACCCCCAUAGUUUCCUCAUACUCGUUAGGAGAUUUUGAUCCAUCCUAUGAUUUGCAUGAUUUCCAUGAUUGUGUGCACCAUAUGCUCCCCAUGAACAAACAUGCUAUUGAUGUGCCAUAUAAUUGUUUGCUCAAUUUGUGUCCUCAUCGUGUCAUACAUAACAACUAUUCUUUCAUGAUGGAUGACAUGUUCUUAUACCAUGCAUCAAAUUUCUUUGAGCAUUUCUUAUCUUGUGCUAACUCACACGUGCACAUACACAUCAUGAUGGAUGAUGUGUACAUUUACCACACACACAAUUUCUUACGUUUGUGUCUCUUUUGUGUAGGUACCCAUGAUUACUUGUCAACCUCACAAUCCCAUGAGUUGACAAAACGAGCUCUAGAGAGCAAUGAUGACUUGGGAUUACGUGGAUUUUCAUUCCCACCACUCGCUUCGCGCAAAGACUUCGUGCAUCUCUUCUACAUGGCCCUCACAUGGUUAUGGGUUAUAUAUCACUUCGUCCUUUAUGCCCAUAUUGCCAUGUUCACUUUGCACGAUAUGCUCAUUCCUAUGCCUUUGUCAUGCAUUUGUGACCCAUGCUUCACAUUACACAUGAUGAUUGAUUCUAGUACUUGUAUGUGUAUUUGCAAGCUUGGUGGAGAUAUCACUUGUUAUUGA
rnacentral:rRNA from 1 species